GGCCAACGUAUUGCCCUAUUGUGGGCGGU
rnacentral:sRNA from 1 species